rnacentral:rRNA from 1 species
GGGUUGUGAGGUUAAGCGACUAAGCGUACACGGUGGAUGCCCUGGCAGUCAGAGGCGAUGAAGGACGUGCUAAUCUGCGAAAAGCGUCGGUAAGGUGAUAUGAACCGUUAUAGCCGGCGAUGUCCGAAUGGGGAAACCCAGUGCAAUUCGUUGCACUAUCGUUAACUGAAUACAUAGGUUAACGAGGCGAACCGGGGGAACUGAAACAUCUAAGUACCCCGAGGAAAAGAAAUCAACCGAGAUUCCCCCAGUAGCGGCGAGCGAACGGGGAGCAGCCCAGAGUCUGAAUCAGCUUGUGUGUUAGUGGAACGGUCUGGAAAGUCCGACGGUACAGGGUGAUAGUCCCGUACACCAAAAUGCACAGGCUGUGAACUCGAAGAGUAGGGCGGGACACGUGGUAUCCUGUCUGAAUAUGGGGGGACCAUCCUCCAAGGCUAAAUACUCCUGACUGACCGAUAGUGAACCAGUACCGUGAGGGAAAGGCGAAAAGAACCCCGGCGAGGGGAGUGAAAAAGAACCUGAAACCGUGUACGUACAAGCAGUGGGAGCACCUUCGGGUGUGACUGCGUACCUUUUGUAUAAUGGGUCAGCGACUUAUAUUCUGUAGCAAGGUUAACCGUAUAGGGGAGCCGCAGGGAAACCGAGUCUUAACUGGGCGUUAAGUUGCAGGGUAUAGACCCGAAACCCGGUGAUCUAGCCAUGGGCAGGUUGAAGGUUGGGUAACACUAACUGGAGGACCGAACCGACUAAUGUUGAAAAAUUAGCGGAUGACUUGUGGCUGGGGGUGAAAGGCCAAUCAAACCGGGAGAUAGCUGGUUCUCCCCGAAAGCUAUUUAGGUAGCGCCUCGUGAACUCAUCUUCGGGGGUAGAGCACUGUUUCGGCUAGGGGGUCAUCCCGACUUACCAACCCGAUGCAAACUACGAAUACCGAAGAAUGUUAUCACGGGAGACACACGGCGGGUGCUAACGUCCGUCGUGAAGAGGGAAACAACCCAGACCGCCAGCUAAGGUCCCAAAGUCAUGGUUAAGUGGGAAACGAUGUGGGAAGGCACAGACAGCCAGGAUGUUGGCUUAGAAGCAGCCAUCAUUUAAAGAAAGCGUAAUAGCUCACUGGUCGAGUCGGCCUGCGCGGAAGAUGUAACGGGGCUAAACCAUGCACCGAAGCUGCGGCAGCGACACUAUGUGUUGUUGGGUAGGGGAGCGUUCUGUAAGCCUGCGAAGGUGUGCUGUGAGGCAUGCUGGAGGUAUCAGAAGUGCGAAUGCUGACAUAAGUAACGAUAAAGCGGGUGAAAAGCCCGCUCGCCGGAAGACCAAGGGUUCCUGUCCAACGUUAAUCGGGGCAGGGUGAGUCGACCCCUAAGGCGAGGCCGAAAGGCGUAGUCGAUGGGAAACAGGUUAAUAUUCCUGUACUUGGUGUUACUGCGAAGGGGGGACGGAGAAGGCUAUGUUAGCCGGGCGACGGUUGUCCCGGUUUAAGCAUGUAGGCUGAUUGUCCAGGCAAAUCCGGAUAAUCAAGGCUGAGGUGUGAUGACGAGGCACUACGGUGCUGAAGUAACAAAUGCCCUGCUUCCAGGAAAAGCCUCUAAGCAUCAGGUAACAUUAAAUCGUACCCCAAACCGACACAGGUGGUCAGGUAGAGAAUACCAAGGCGCUUGAGAGAACUCGGGUGAAGGAACUAGGCAAAAUGGUGCCGUAACUUCGGGAGAAGGCACGCUGGUGUGUAGGUGAAGUCCCUGCGGAUGGAGCUGAGACCAGUCGAAGAUACCAGCUGGCUGCAACUGUUUAUUAAAAACACAGCACUGUGCAAACACGAAAGUGGACGUAUACGGUGUGACGCCUGCCCGGUGCCGGAAGGUUAAUUGAUGGGGUUAUCCGUAAGGAGAAGCUCUUGAUCGAAGCCCCGGUAAACGGCGGCCGUAACUAUAACGGUCCUAAGGUAGCGAAAUUCCUUGUCGGGUAAGUUCCGACCUGCACGAAUGGCGUAAUGAUGGCCAGGCUGUCUCCACCCGAGACUCAGUGAAAUUGAACUCGCUGUGAAGAUGCAGUGUACCCGCGGCAAGACGGAAAGACCCCGUGAACCUUUACUAUAGCUUGACACUGAACAUUGAGCCUUGAUGUGUAGGAUAGGUGGGAGGCUUUGAAGCGUGGACGCCAGUCUGCGUGGAGCCAACCUUGAAAUACCACCCUUUAAUGUUUGAUGUUCUAACGUUGGCCCCUUACCGGGGUUGCGGACAGUGUCUGGUGGGUAGUUUGACUGGGGCGGUCUCCUCCCAAAGCGUAACGGAGGAGCACGAAGGUUAGCUAAUCCUGGUCGGACAUCAGGAGGUUAGUGCAAUGGCAUAAGCUAGCUUGACUGCGAGCGUGACGGCGCGAGCAGGUGCGAAAGCAGGUCAUAGUGAUCCGGUGGUUCUGAAUGGAAGGGCCAUCGCUCAACGGAUAAAAGGUACUCCGGGGAUAACAGGCUGAUACCGCCCAAGAGUUCAUAUCGACGGCGGUGUUUGGCACCUCGAUGUCGGCUCAUCACAUCCUGGGGCUGAAGUAGGUCCCAAGGGUAUGGCUGUUCGCCAUUUAAAGUGGUACGCGAGCUGGGUUUAGAACGUCGUGAGACAGUUCGGUCCCUAUCUGCCGUGGGCGCUGGAGAAUUGAGGGGGGCUGCUCCUAGUACGAGAGGACCGGAGUGGACGCAUCACUGGUGUUCGGGUUGUCAUGCCAAUGGCACUGCCCGGUAGCUAAAUGCGGAAGAGAUAAGUGCUGAAAGCAUCUAAGCACGAAACUUGCCCCGAGAUGAGUUCUCCCUGAGACUUUAAGUCUCCUGAAGGAACGUUAAAGACGAUGACGUUGAUAGGCCGGGUGUGUAAGCGCAGCGAUGCGUUGAGCUAACCGGUACUAAUGAACCGUGAGGCUUAACCUUACAACGCCGAAG